rnacentral:rRNA from 1 species
UAGGGUUUGAUUAUGGCUCAGAUUGAACGCUAGCGGGAUGCCUUACACAUGCAAGUCGAACGGCAGCACGGACUUCGGUCUGGUGGCGAGUGGCGAACGGGUGAGUAAUGUAUCGGAACGUGCCUAGUAGCGGGGGAUAACUACGCGAAAGCGUAGCUAAUACCGCAUACGCCCUACGGGGGAAAGCAGGGGAUCGCAAGACCUUGCACUAUUAGAGCGGCCGAUAUCGGAUUAGCUAGUUGGUGGGGUAACGGCUCACCAAGGCGACGAUCCGUAGCUGGUUUGAGAGGACGACCAGCCACACUGGGACUGAGACACGGCCCAGACUCCUACGGGAGGCAGCAGUGGGGAAUUUUGGACAAUGGGGGAAACCCUGAUCCAGCCAUCCCGCGUGUGCGAUGAAGGCCUUCGGGUUGUAAAGCACUUUUGGCAGGAAAGAAACGUCAUGGGUUAAUACCCCGUGAAACUGACGGUACCUGCAGAAUAAGCACCGGCUAACUACGUGCCAGCAGCCGCGGUAAUACGUAGGGUGCAAGCGUUAAUCGGAAUUACUGGGCGUAAAGCGUGCGCAGGCGGUUCGGAAAGAAAGAUGUGAAAUCCCAGAGCUUAACUUUGGAACUGCAUUUUUAACUACCGAGCUAGAGUGUGUCAGAGGGAGGUGGAAUUCCGCGUGUAGCAGUGAAAUGCGUAGAUAUGCGGAGGAACACCGAUGGCGAAGGCAGCCUCCUGGGAUAACACUGACG